ACACCAUGGGAGUUGGUUUUACCUGAAGGCGGUGCGCUAACCCGCAAGGGAGGCAGCCGACCACGGUAGGAUCAGCGACGUGGGGUG
rnacentral:rRNA from 1 species